rnacentral:rRNA from 1 species
UCAAUAAGCGGAGGAAAAGAAACUAACAAGGAUUCCCCUAGUAACGGCGAGUGAAGAGGGAAGAGCUCAAAUUUUAAAUCUGGCGUCUUUGGCGUCCGAAUUGUAAUCUAGAGAAGUGUUUUCCGUGACGGACCGUGCACAAGUCUCCUGGAAUGGAGCGUCAUAGAGGGUGAGAAUCCCGUAUAUGGCAUGGACUGCCGUUGCUCUGUGAYACACUCUCGACGAGUCGAGUUGUUUGGGAAUGCAGCUCUAAAUGGGUGGUAAAUGCCAUCUAAAGCUAAAUAUUGGCGAGAGACCGAUAGCGAACAAGUACCGUGAGGGAAAGAUGAAAAGCACUUUGGAAAGAGAGUGAAACAGUACGUGAAAUUGUUGAAAGGGAAACGCUUGAAGUCAGUCGCGCCGUUCAGGAUUCAGCCUUGCUUUUGCUCGGUUUACUUCCUGUUGGGUGGGUCAACAUCAGUUUUGGUCGGAGGAGAAAGGCUUGGGGAAUGUGGCAGCAUUCGUGCUGUGUUAUAGCCCCUUGUUGUAUACUUCGGCUGGGACUGACGACCGCAGCACGCCUUUGGCCGGGGUUCGCCCACSUACGUGCUUAGGA